rnacentral:rRNA from 1 species
UGGGGAAUAUUGCGCAAUGGGCGAAAGCCUGACGCAGCGACGCCGCGUGAGGGAUGAAGGCCUUCGGGUUGUAAACCUCUUUCAGCAGGGAAGAAGCGCAAGUGACGGUACCUGCAGAAGAAGCACCGGCUAACUACGUGCCAGCAGCCGCGGUAAUACGUAGGGUGCAAGCGUUGUCCGGAAUUAUUGGGCGUAAAGAGCUCGUAGGCGGUCUGUCGCGUCUGCUGUGAAAACCCAGGGCUUAACCCUGGGCCUGCAGUGGGUACGGGCAGACUAGAGUGCGGUAGGGGAGAUCGGAAUUCCUGGUGUAGCGGUGAAAUGCGCAGAUAUCAGGAGGAACACCGGUGGCGAAGGCGGAUCUCUGGGCCGUAACUGACGCUGAGGAGCGAAAGCAUGGGGAGCGAACA